CUUUCUCCGCUUCCUCUCGUCUUCCUUCUCGCCCCGCUCGCUAUUAACCACUCCCAGCCCGCAACAAAUCUGGUGCUCGAAGACAAGGGUCCCGAUCGGCGAUUCCGCAGCGGAAGCCCAAAUCUGCGACUUCAUCCCGGGAAUUCCAGCUUAGAAGAGGCAAGAUCCAACCUCGUUAACCCUUUACAAACCAAUCCCUUCUGCGUUAAUUGCUUUCGCUUCCCAUUAGUCGUUUGUGCCUGCGGGAUGAUGACGAUGGACGUGGAUCUGUAAGAAAUUUGAUACAUCAAACAAAAAUCGAUCUUCGUUCUAGAUUUUAGAGAUCCCCUCUGAUUUUUUGUGUGGAAGACGCGGUUUUGGGCGGUUGCCAUUGUUCUAAGCUGGAUUUAAGCUGGUCAUCAUUCAAGAAUUGGAAUAGGUUGGAUGAGAGGGUUCUCAAAAGGGGAAAGGAGAUGAGACGGCGGCCUGUGGGGCGGGAGGGACAAUGAAUGGAGGGUCAUUGGGUCUACGAUCGGGGAGUUAUGGAUCGCUGCAGCAACAGCUGCAGAACGGUGCUGCUUUGCCGACUCAGUCGCCGCCCCUCCCAGUCCGCAAGACUUCGAAAAUGUCACUUUCCGGAUCAAGAGACAAGGAGAAGAUCUUGCCGAGGAUCUUCAAGUUUGCUGGGAGGAGGAAGGUCGGGAUGUUGCUCUUGCUCGUCGCCUCAGCUGCAGUGCUGUCUUUCAUUUCUGCCGUCACUAAAGAUGAAGACACAUCGGUGAGCCCUGAAUCUCGCAUGGGUUUCACAGACCAUGUCCGGAAUUUUGUAAACCCUAGUAGACCAUCAUUUAAUAAUUUCAAGCCUCUCUUUGCACCUGCAAAAGUAACUGAGGUCAAUAGCACUUCCUAUGCAAACCAUGAGUCUGCAAAUACUCAUAAUAAAACACAGCUCUCUAUUCCCAUUCUUCCUCCAACACCACAUCCUUGUGAAAGUUUCACUCUUCCUCCUCCACCAGCUGAUAAGAAGCGCACUGGUCCACGUCCAUGUCCAGUUUGUUAUGUCCCUGUAGAGCAGGCUGUGCUACUCAUGCCACCUUCACCAUCAGCAUCGCCCAUUCUUAAGGAUUUAAGCUACUACUCAGAAGAUAACUUGAUUGCCAAUGAGUCAAAUGGAGGUUCUAUCUUUGGGGGACAUCCAUCUCUGCUACAUAGGAAUGAAUCAUUCAAUAUCAAAGAAUCAAUGAUGGUGCACUGUGGAUUCGUCAAAGGAAAGAGACCUGGUCAAGGGACUGGAUUUGACAUAAAUGACACUGAUCUUCUUGAGAUGGAGGAAUGCCAUGAUGUGGUCAUUGCCUCUGCUAUUUUUGGAAAUUAUGAUAUAAUGCAACAACCAAAGAAUAUUAGUGAAUAUGCAAAGAGGAAUGCCUGCUUUUAUAUGUUUGUUGAUGAAGAAACUGAAGCAUACAUAAAGAAUUCUAGUGGCCUAGUUGAUACCAAAAGAGUUGGUCUAUGGAGAGUGGUGGUAGUUCAAAACCUUCCUUAUGAUGACGCAAGGCGCAAUGGGAAGGUUCCAAAACUUCUGCUCCAAAGGCUUUUCCCAAAUGCCCGGUUUUCUCUUUGGAUUGAUGGAAAACUUGAGUUGGUCGUGGAUCCUUAUCAAGUUCUUGAGAGAUUCUUGUGGCGGAAGAACUACACUUUUGCAAUCUCCAGGCAUUACAGGCGCUUUGAUGUUUUUGAGGAAGCAGAGGCUAACAAAGCUGCUGGAAAAUACGACAAUGCAUCCAUAGAUAGUCAAAUUGAGUUUUAUAAGAAAGAGGGUCUCACGCCUUAUUCUUUGUCCAAGAUUCCAAUUACAAGUGAUGUCCCUGAGGGAUGUGUGAUCAUCAAAGAGCACAUCCCUAUAACCAAUCUGUUCACGUGCCUGUGGUUCAACGAAGUUGAUCGUUUUACCUCUAGGGAUCAGAUCAGCUUCAGCACUGUACAGCAAUCUCGACCAUGGCUUUGCUGAUUUCAAGGGUUACUGUCAAAUAUCCAACAGUUAGAAACAUGGGUUGUGUUAACAUAACCUUGCCCGUACUGUGUUUGCAUCUAUCAUGACGUGUCAUGCAUACCACAGAGACUUGUUGGAACAACGGAAAGAACUUGCCUCCUUGAUCCAGCCACCACCUCCUGUGGUGUCUAAUAAAUCACCUCGAGAAUUAAUUCCAGCGGCUCCAGACAGGCUUGCAAGAGCUCCACCGUCGAGGAAGCUGCCUGGGAAGAUAUCCGUGAGGCGUGGGAGGGACAAAAAAUCAGGUUCGAGGCGUCAUCACCCUCGUGCUGGCGCUGGAAAAGAUAACAAUUCGAUCUGAGAUUUUGCACACAUUGAUUCUUUUUCAAGGUUCCUACAGUAUUAUUAGACGUGGGUCUGCCAAUUCAGGACUAAUUGCCUCCUAGAGGACCCAUUCUUGAGUAUACCGCUCUAUUAUUUUUGCGAGGAACUGUUAAUAGUGAUUCAAUAUUUUUUGUUACAAGUAAUCAGUUCAACAAUAAGUAGCAUUGGCAUCAAUCUCAACAUUUUUGCUCCGAAAGUUACAUCUUUGAUGCAAUCUUUAGUCCACUUUGUAACAUAAAUGUUUUGCUAGUCAAGAAUUGAUCCCGAGCUU